rnacentral:rRNA from 1 species
UACAGAGGGUGCAAGCGUUGUUCGGAAUUAUUGGGCGUAAAGCGCGUGUAGGCGGCUUUGCAAGUCGGGUGCGAAAGCCCUCAGCUUAACUGAGGAAGUGCGCCCGAAACUGCUUGGCUUGAGUACCGGAGAGGAUGGCGGAAUUCCCCAAGUAGAGGUGAAAUUCGUAGAUAUGGGGAGGAACACCGGUGGCGAAGGCGGCCAUCUGGACGGAUACUGACGCUGAGACGCGAAAGCGUGGGUAGCAAACAGG